CGUAGGUGAACCUGCGGAAGGAUCAUUAUAGAUUCUUUUGGCUGUGCGCCGCGAGGCCGCACGCCGAAAUCCAAUCGCACACACCCGUGCACUUCGGUCGUGGUAAAACGCGGCCGCCUUCACAUUUAACAAGUAAAACCCGAAUGUAACAAACCAUAAAAUAAUACAACUUUUAACAACGGAUCUCUUGGCUCUCGCAUCGAUGAAGAACGCAGCGAAAUGCGAUACGUAAUGUGAAUUGCAGAAUUCAGUGAAUCAUCGAAUCUUUGAACGCACAUUGCGCCCGCCAGUAUUCUGGCGGGCAUGCCUGUUCGAGCGUCAUUUCAACCCUCGCGCCCAUCUGGGCUGCGGUGUUGGCCAGCAGCUUUACCCAGUAAGGCUGCGGCCCAAAUUCAGUGGCGGUCUCGCUGCAACUUCCCCUGCGUAGUAGCACACCUCGCAUCGGAAAGCAGCCUGGCCUCGCCGUAAAACCCCAACUUUAGAAGUUUGACCUCGGAUCAGGUAGGAAUACCCGCUGAACUUAAGCAUAUCAAUAAGCGGAGGAAAAGAAACCAACAGGGAUUGCCCUAGUAACGGCGAGUGAAGAGGGGAGAGCUCAAAUUUGAAAUCUGGCGGCCUCAGUCGUCCGAGUUGUAAUCUAGAGAG
rnacentral:rRNA from 1 species